rnacentral:rRNA from 1 species
GGGGAAAGAUUCAUCGCCGAUGGAUGGGCCCCGCGUCGGAUUAGCUUGUUUGGUGUGGAACGGGCGCACCAAGGCGACGAUCCGUAGCUGGUCUGAGAGUAUGAUCAGCCACACUUGGGACUGAGACACGGCCCAGACUCUUACGGGAGGCAGCAGUGGGGAAUAUUGGACAAUGGGCGCAAGCCUGAUCCAGCCAUGCCGCGUGAGUGAAGAAGGCCUUAGGGUUGUAAAUCUCUUUCGGCGGGGAAGAUAAUGACGGUACCCGCAGAAGAAGCCCCGGCUAACUCCGUGCCAGCAGCCGCGGUAAUACGGAGGGGGCUAGCGUUGUUCGGAAUUACUGGGCGUAAAGGGCACGUAGGCUGGCUGUUAAGUCGGGGGUGAAAUCCUGAGGCUCAACCUCAGAAUUGCCUCCGAUACUGGCGGUCUCGAGUGCGGGAGAGGUGAGUGGAAUUCCCAGUGUAGAGGUGAAAUUCGUAGAUAUUGGGAAGAACACCAGUGGCGAAGGCGGCUCAGUGGCCCGCAACUGACGAUGAGGUGCGAAAGCGUGGGGAGCAAACAG